rnacentral:rRNA from 1 species
GAUGAACGCUGGCGGCGUGCCUAAUACAUGCCAGUCGAGCGAACAGACGAGGAGCUUGCUCCUCUGACGUUAGCGGCGGACGGGUGAGUAACAUGUGGAUAACCUACCUAUAAGACUGGGAUAACUUCGGGAAACCGGAGCUAAUACCGGAUAAUAUAUUGAACCGCAUGGUUCACUAGUGAAAGACGGUUUUGCUGUCACUUAUAGAUGGAUCCGCGCCGCAUUAGCUAGUUGGUAAGGUAACGGCUUACCAAGGCAACGAUGCGUAGCCGACCUGAGAGGGUGGUCGGCCACACUGGAACUGAGACACGGUCCAGACUCCUACGGGAGGCAGCAGUAGGGAAUCUUCCGCAAUGGGCGAAAGCCUGACGGAGCAACGCCGCGUGAGUGAUGAAGGUCUUCGGAUCGUAGAACUCUGUUAUUAGGGAAGAACAAAUGUGUAAGUAACUAUGCACGUCUUGACGGUACCUAAUCAGAAAGCCACGGCUAACUACGUG